rnacentral:rRNA from 1 species
UCUGGUUACUGCGAUGGAGGGACGGAGAAGGCUAGGCCAGCUUGGCGUUGGUUGUCCAAGUUUAAGGUGGUAGGCUGAAAUCUUAGGUAAAUCCGGGGUUUCAAGGCCGAGAGCUGAUGACGAGUCGUCUUUUAGAUGACGAAGUGGUUGAUGCCAUGCUUCCAAGAAAAGCUUCUAAGCUUCAGGUAACCAGGAACCGUACCCCAAACCGACACAGGUGGUCGGGUAGAGAAUACCAAGGCGCUUGAGAGAACUCGGGUGAAGGAACUAGGCAAAAUGGCACCGUAACUUCGGGAGAAGGUGCGCCGGCUAGGGUGAAGGAUUUACUCCGUAAGCUCUGGCUGGUCGAAGAUACCAGGCCGCUGCGACUGUUUAUUAAAAACACAGCACUCUGCAAACACGAAAGUGGACGUAUAGGGUGUGACGCCUGCCCGGUGCCGGAAGGUUAAUUGAUGGGGUUAGCGCAAGCGAAGCUCUUGAUCGAAGCCCCGGUAAACGGCGGCCGUAACUAUAACGGUCCUAAGGUAGCGAAAUUCCUUGUCGGGUAAGUUCCGACCUGCACGAAUGGCGUAACGAUGGCGGCGCUGUCUCCACCCGAGACUCAGUGAAAUUGAAAUCGCUGUGAAGAUGCAGUGUAUCCGCGGCUAGACGGAAAGACCCCGUGAACCUUUACUGUAGCUUUGCACUGGACUUUGAGCCUGCUUGUGUAGGAUAGGUGGGAGGCUUUGAAGCGUGGACGCCAGUUCGCGUGGAGCCAUCCUUGAAAUACCACCCUGGCAUGCUUGAGGUUCUAACUCUGGUCCGUAAUCCGGAUCGAGGACAGUGUAUGGUGGGCAGUUUGACUGGGGCGGUCUCCUCCUAAAGAGUAACGGAGGAGUACGAAGGUGCGCUCAGACCGGUCGGAAAUCGGUCGCAGAGUAUAAAGGCAAAAGCGCGCUUGACUGCGAGACAGACACGUCGAGCAGGUACGAAAGUAGGUCUUAGUGAUCCGGUGGUUCUGUAUGGAAGGGCCAUCGCUCAACGGAUAAAAGGUACUCCGGGGAUAACAGGCUGAUACCGCCCAAGAGUUCAUAUCGACGGCGGUGUUUGGCACCUCGAUGUCGGCUCAUCACAUCCUGGGGCUGAAGCCGGUCCCAAGGGUAUGGCUGUUCGCCAUUUAAAGUGGUACGCGAGCUGGGUUUAGAACGUCGUGAGACAGUUCGGUCCCUAUCUGCCGUGGACGUUUGAGAUUUGAGAGGGGCUGCUCCUAGUACGAGAGGACCGGAGUGGACGAACCUCUGGUGUUCCGGUUGUCACGCCAGUGGCAUUGCCGGGUAGCUAUGUUCGGAAAAGAUAACCGCUGAAAGCAUCUAAGCGGGAAACUUGCCUCAAGAUGAGAUCUCACUGGGAACUUGAUUCCCCUGAAGGGCCGUCGAAGACUACGACGUUGAUAGGCUGGGUGUGUAAGCGUUGUGAGGCGUUGAGCUAACCAGUACUAAUUGCCCGUGAGGCUUGACC